CUCAUCUCUGCUGGCUCCUUCCCGCACCCCCGAAAUGAGUAACGCCAGGAGCCAGGAGAUGAAGAAACCAGCUCCUCAGGCAUGUGGGCCUCAAACAGAUCAGUGAAUUACCUGCAAGAUUGCAGAGGUGCGAAGCUGCCGCACAAAGCGCGGAGCAAUGGAGGCCUGACUGGGAGAACCUCUUUGCAAGGGAACAGGGAAUUCAGAGAAAGAGGUGCGUCGCCCUUUGAAUAGCCCGUGGGACUAGAACUCCAGACUGCUGGGCUCUAUUCCAGGCUCCGCAGCGGAACUGAAUAGCUCACAGGAGCAAGCGCCAGGA